rnacentral:rRNA from 1 species
UAUAGAGGUCCCAAGCGUUGUUCGGAUUUACUGGGCGUAAAGGGUGCGUAGGCGGUCGAGUAAGUCUGACGUGAAAUCUCCGGGCCUAACCCGGAAACUGCGUUGGAAACUACUAGGCUAGAGGAAUGGAGGGGAGACUGGAAUACUUGGUGUAGCAGUGAAAUGCGUAGAUAUCAAGUGGAACACCAGUGGCGAAGGCGAGUCUCUGGCCAUUUCCUGACGCUGAGGCACGAAAGCCAGGGGAGCAAACGGG